AGUGAACGCUGGCGGUAGGCCUAACACAUGCAAGUCGAACGGCAGCACAGUAAGAGCUUGCUCUUACGGGUGGCGAGUGGCGGACGGGUGAGGAAUACAUCGGAAUCUACUUUUUCGUGGGGGAUAACGUAGGGAAACUUACGCUAAUACCGCAUACGACCUACGGGUGAAAGCAGGGGAUCUUCGGACCUUGCGCGAUUGAAUGAGCCGAUGUCGGAUUAGCUAGUUGGCGGGGUAAGGGCCCACCAAGGCGACGAUCCGUAGCUGGUCUGAGAGGAUGAUCAGCCACACUGGAACUGAGACACGGUCCAGACUCCUACGGGAGGCAGCAGUGGGGAAUAUUGGACAAUGGGCGCAAGCCUGAUCCAGCCAUACCGCGUGGGUGAAGAAGGCCUUCGGGUUGUAAAGCCCUUUUGUUGGGAAAGAAAAGCAGCAGGUUAAUACCCCGCUGUUCUGACGGUACCCAAAGAAUAAGCACCGGUUAACUUCGUG
rnacentral:rRNA from 1 species